rnacentral:rRNA from 1 species
AACGAACGCUGGCGGCAGGCUUAACACAUGCAAGUCGAGCGCGUAGCAAUACGAGCGGCAGACGGGUGAGUAACACGUGGGAAUCUACCCUACCCUACGGAAUAGCUCCGGGAAACUGGAAUUAAUACCGUAUACGCCCUUAGGGGGAAAGAUUUAUCGGGGAAGGAUGAGCCCGCGUUGGAUUAGCUAGUUGGUGGGGUAAAGGCCUACCAAGGCGACGAUCCAUAGCUGGUCUGAGAGGAUGAUCAGCCACAUUGGGACUGAGACACGGCCCAAACUCCUACGGGAGGCAGCAGUGGGGAAUAUUGGACAAUGGGCGCAAGCCUGAUCCAGCCAUGCCGCGUGAGUGAUGAAGGCCUUAGGGUUGUAAAGCUCUUUCACCGGAGAAGAUAAUGACGGUAUCCGGAGAAGAAGCCCCGGCUAACUUCGUGCCAGCCGCCGCCGUAA